UGUAUAUAUCAAAUCUACAAAUUUUAAAAAAAAUUGAAAAUCAUUUGAUACUUCGUUUCAUUAAUUCAAAUCAAUGUAUAAAAUGAUUUUAUGAUUAUCUGUCAAUUUGAAUUGAUGAAAUGAAGUAUCAAAUGAUUUUCAAAUUUUUAAAAAAUUUGCAGACUUGAUCUAUGUA
rnacentral:miRNA from 1 species